UAUUCCUUUUGUUUAACCUUAUAUUUAAAGGUUAGCCUUUUUUAAAUUUAAUUUUCACAAUCAACAUUCUUCAAUAGUCAACUAAACUUUGUUGUAGAAAUGUUUUAUUGACUGAAAGAUAAAAACUAUGCCCUUCAGAAUCAGGAAACCCAGAGGAUUGACGACUGGAAAUAUUAUGUUAGCAACAUUUCUCGGAGUAUGCUCUGGAUAUUAUAUGUGGAAUACCCCAAUGCAACAAUAUAUUAAAGACCAAGAAUUGAAAAAAGAAAGGGAAGAGAAACAAGAAGUAGUCGUAUCAUCAAACUAAAAAAUUAAUAUUUUAUCCUGAAACAGUUGUCCACCAAGCAAUGGAGCGAAAACCAACUACAGGAACACAGGAUAACGUUUCAACACGAAAGCUGACUUUAUUGGAGAAGUCUAAGAUAAGAUCAGAAACUACAAGGCUCCAGAGAAUUAAGGACCUGUUAAAAUCCAAGGGAAUGUGGUUUACAUGUGGCGCAAUUUGCGUAAUAGCAACAUUCAAACUAGUUUAUGUUCCUUGGAAAGCUGAAGUAGAUAGAAUAGAAGCUCAGGAAGUUGCUGAUUAUCUGUGGGAGAAAGAUUACAAAACAAACAUUAAAAGAUAGUAGUUAAAUCGUAGAGUAGUCCUAAAUAAAGUUUAGUUACAAUA